GAGGGCAUUGAUGAUUAUUGGCCAUGACAUUUCCUUUUGAAAUCCCCAUAAGUUUUACUCUACCCUCUUGCCUUUUUCAAGGCAAUUUUCAAGGCAAUUCUCCCUUUGAGAAUCUGGAACUCCUUCAUAAGAGGAAAAGCACCCCUCCAGAUAUGCAUAGGCGCAUAAUUCCACCUUUCUCUGAGUUGAUUUUCUGACUUGGGAGGACUCAGCUGAGAGAAGACGGCACGACUCUUCAGACACAUGCA